CCGCUAAUGCAGAUAACCCCCUAAAAUAAAUUUCACACUUAUGAGGUUUUUCUCCCGUAUGCGUUCUCAAAUGUGUUUUUAGAUUACUUGCAUCAGUAAAUUGCUUAAAACAAAUUUCACACUUGUGAGGUUUUUCUCCUGUGUGCGUUCUCAAAUGUUUUUUUAAAUGCGCUAAUGCAGAAAACCCCCUAAAACAAAUUUCACACUUAUGAGGUUUUUCUCCUGUGUGCGUUCUCAAAUGUUUUUUUAAAUGCGCUAAAGCAAGAAAACCCCCUAAAACAAAUUUCACACUUGUUAGGUUUUUCUCCUCUGUGCGUUCUCAAAUGUUGUUUUAAAUUUGAUAAUACAGAAAAUUCUUUAAAACAAGUUUCGCACUUGUAAGGUUUUUCUCCCGUGUGCGUUCUCAAAUGUGUUUUUAGAUUACCUGCAUCAGUAAAUUGCUUAAAACAAAUUUCACAGUUAUAAGGUUUUUCUCCCGUGUGAGUUCUCAACUGUUGUUUUAAAUUUAAUAAUACAGAAAAUUCUUUAAAACCAGUUUCGCACUUGUAAGGUUUUUCUCCCGUGUGCGUUCUCAAAUGUGUUUUUAGAUUACCUGCAUCAGUAAAUUGCUUAAAACGAAUUUCACAGUUGUGAGGUUUUUC